UACGUAGGGGGCAAGCGUUGUCCGGAAUUAUUGGGCGUAAAGAGCGCGUAGGCGGUCCGAUAAGUCGGCUGUGAAAGUCAAGGGCUCAACCCUUGGAAGCCGGCCGAUACUGUCGGACUAGAGUCCGGAAGAGGCGAGUGGAAUUCCCGGUGUAGCGGUGAAAUGCGUAGAUAUCAGGAGGAACACCAAUGGCGAAGGCAGCUCGCUGGGACGGUACUGACGCUGAGGCGCGAAAGCGUGGGGAGCAAACAGG
rnacentral:rRNA from 1 species